CCCCCGGCGGACUACACAUGCAGUCGAGCGGUAGAGAGAAGCUUGCUUCUCUUGAGAGCGGCGGACGGGUGAGUAAUGCCUAGGAAUCUGCCUGGUAGUGGGGGAUAACGUUCGGAAACGGACGCUAAUACCGCAUACGUCCUACGGGAGAAAGCAGGGGACCUUCGGGCCUUGCGCUAUCAAAUGAGCCUAGGUCGGAUUAGCUAGUUGGUGAGGUAAUGGCUCACCAAGGCGACGAUCCGUAACUGGUCUGAGAGGAUGAUCAGUCACACUGGAACUGAGACACGGUCCAGACUCCUACGGGAGGCAGCAGUGGGGAAUAUUGGACAAUGGGCGAAAGCCUGAUCCAGCCAUGCCGCGUGUGUGAAGAAGGUCUUCGGAUUGUAAAGCACUUUAAGUUGGGAGGAAGGGUUGUAGAUUAAUACUCUGCAAUUUUGACGUUACCGACAGAAUAAGCACCGGCUAACUCUGUGCCAGCAGCCGCGGUAAUACAGAGGGUGCAAGCGUUAAUCGGAAUUACUGGGCGUAAAGCGCGCGUAUGUGGUUUGUUAAGUUGGAUGUGAAAUCCCCGGGCUCAACCUGGGAACUGCAUUCAAAACUGACUGACUAGAGUAUGGUAGAGGGUGGUGGAAUUUCCUGUGUAGCGGUGAAAUGCGUACAUAUAUGAAGGAACACUAGUGGCGAAUGCGACCACCUGGGACUUAUACUGACACUGACGUGCGAAAGCGUGGGGAGCAAACACGAUUAGAUACCCUGGUAAUUCACGCCGUAAANAUGUCACUAUCGUUGGAAGCACUGGAUGUUUUGUGGCGCAGCUUACCAUAAUUGACCG
rnacentral:rRNA from 1 species